rnacentral:lncRNA from 1 species
CCUCUUCCCCUUAUAAAUUCCAAUAUCUGAGCUUAAAAUUCCACUCCAUCAUCAAAUUAGAAAAAGAAAGAAAUUUUGAGCUUGAAUUGUAUAGCUUAGAAGAACUUCCUUUCUUAUGUCCAUGGUGGGCAUAAGGACGGGGGUCAUUGACUUCAGAAGGAGCGUCCCCUUGUGGAGGAACCUAGAUCGAGUCCUCUUCUUCCCCAUCUUGCGUACAUUACGUGGAAUCCCAGAGUCGGAGCUCGGCAGAGGGAGUGAACUAAAGAAUUUCAGGAACAUGUUUAUCAUAUUUUAUCUCGAUGAGGGCUUAUCUGCAAAAAAUGUCAGUUUAAUUUUGUCUCUUGCACCUGCAUGAGGACGUUUACCAAUAACCCACUUCAUUCACCUCGGGAUCGACCUUAAUAUAAACCUACCAAUGAAAGCUCACCAUCUACCUGCAAGUUGGCUAUUUAAAGCUUGCCGUGUGACCGACCCAC